CUCUGCCUCCUUUGGAUCUUUUUGCGGUCUGGGCUUGCUGUUUGUCUAAUCAGUAGUCAGGAAGCCCUUACCCCAAAAAGUAUUUACAGGGGGCCCUGUCAACGGAAGUGGCCCC
rnacentral:miRNA from 1 species